rnacentral:rRNA from 1 species
UACGUAGGGGGCUAGCGUUGUCCGGAAUCAUUGGGCGUAAAGCGCGCGUAGGCGGUCCGGUAAGUCCGCUGUGAAAGUCGGGGGCUCAACCCUCGGAUGCCGGUGGAUACUGUCGGGCUUGAGUGCGGAAGAGGCGAGUGGAAUUCCUGGUGUAGCGGUGAAAUGCGCAGAGUAUCAAGGAGGAACACCAAUUGCGAAGGCAGGCUCCGCUGGGACGUAACUGACGCUGGAUGCGCGAAAGCGUGGGAGCGAACAGGAUUAGAUACCGGAG